AGUUUGAUCCUGGCUCAGAUUGAACGCUGGCGGCAUGCCUUACACAUGCAAGUCGAACGGCAGCACGGGGGCAACCCUGGUGGCGAGUGGCGAACGGGUGAGUAAUGCAUCGGAACGUGCCCAGUAGUGGGGGAUAACCAGUCGAAAGACUGGCUAAUACCGCAUAUUCUGUGAGCAGGAAAGCAGGGGAUCGCAAGACCUUGCGCUGAUUGAGCGGCCGAUAUCAGAUUAGCUAGUUGGUGGGGUAAAAGCCUACCAAGGCGACGAUCUGUAGCGGGUCUGAGAGGAUGAUCCGCCACACUGGAACUGAGACACGGUCCAGACUCCUACGGGAGGCAGCAGUGGGGAAUUUUGGACAAUGGGCGAAAGCCUGAUCCAGCCAUGCCGCGUGAGUGAAGAAGGCCUUCGGGUUGUAAAGCUCUUUCGGCCGGGAAGAAAUCGCAUAGGUUAAUACUCUGUGCGGAUGACGGUACCGGCAUAAGAAGCACCGGCUAACUACGUGCCAGCAGCCGCGGUAAUACGUAGGGUGCGAGCGUUAAUCGGAAUUACUGGGCGUAAAGCGUGCGCCGGGCGGUUUUGUAAGACAGGCGUGAAAUCCCCGGGCNUCAACCUGGGAACUGCGUUUGUGACUGCAAGGCUAGAGUAUGGCAGAGGGGGGUGGAAUUCCACGUGUAGCAGUGAAAUGCGUAAAGAUGUG
rnacentral:rRNA from 1 species